ACGGCUCAGUAACACGUGGACAAUCUACCCUAAGGUGGGGGAUAACCCCGGGAAACUGGGGAUAAUACCCCAUAGACUAUAGAUGCUGGAAUGCUUUGUAGUUGAAAGGUCAGCCGCCAUAGGAUGGGUCUGCGGCCGAUUAGGUAGUUGUUGGGGUAACGGCCCAACAAGCCUGUAAUCGGUACGGGUUGUGGGAGCAAGAGCCCGGAGAUGGAUUCUGAGACACGAAUCCAGGCCCUACGGGGCGCAGCAGGCGCGAAAACUUUACAAUGCGGGAGACCGUGAUAAGGGAACUCCGAGUGCCCGUUAAAUCGGGCUGUCCACCAGUUUAAAAAACUGGUGAAGAAAGGGCCGGGCAAGACCGGUGCCAGCCGCCGCGGUAAUACCGGCGGCUCGAGUGGUGGCCACUAUUACUGGGCUUAAAGCGUUCGUAGCUGGUUUGUUAAGUCUCUGGGGAAAUCUUCCGGCUUAACCGGAAGGCGUCUCAGGGAUACUGGCAGACUAGGGACCGGAAGAGGUGAGGGGUACUCCAGGGGUAGGAGUGAAAUCCUGUAAUCCUUGGGGGACCACCUGUGGCGAAGGCGCCUCACCAGGACGGCUCCGACAGUGAGGGACGAAAGCUGGGGGAGCAAACCGGAUUAGAUACCCGGGUAGUCCCAGCCGUAAACGAUGUGCGUUAGGUGUAUCGGUGACCACGAGUCACCGAGGUGCCGAAGAGAAAUCGUGAAACGUACCGCCUGGGAAGUACGGUCGCAAGGCUGAAACUUAAAGGAAUUGGCGGGGGAGCAC
rnacentral:rRNA from 1 species